GGCGGCCCCGGGCGCCCCUGGCUUUCCUGCGCCGAGAGGCGAGGGGCGGAUCGCCGGCCGCCCGGGAGGGGCGAGUGUGCACGGAGGUGCCGGUCCCCGCCCGGUGCGGGCACGCACACGCCGGCCCGGCGCAAAGCCCCCCUGCACCCCGCGAUAGGGGACCCAGGCCGAACCCGGCACGGCUGGAGCCUCCGCUCCCUUUCCACAGACAAUGCAGUCGGAAGGCUGGCCUGUUCCAGCAAGCCUUUCCCGGCCUCCUCUCUCAGCGGGAAAAACUCGAACCCCUGCAUACGAGCCUUGGCCUACAGGGCUCCAAAGAUAAGCCCCAGACCCGAUCUCGGAAAGAUGCUGAUCUCUCCUCUCACUCGCAGCGCCAGCCUCGGGGCUCCUCAGCCCGAGCACCUACUAGCGCGCGCGCACACACUCACACGGCACUCCCAUCACAUUAAAACGCGCGCUCCCGGCACUGUUGUUCACGAAGCCGACGCGCAUAAUGAGUGCACAGGUAAAUAGGUACAGGGGAGCAGCCCUCACCUGUCGGAAGCACAAUUUGCCUCUUCCUACUGGGAAUAUGUGGAGCUUAUCGUGUUUUAGCAAUGAUAUGCUGUUCUUUGUGGUUUUCCCCUCCCCUUCUUGCAGAGAGAAGCCCAAAGGGCAGGGGGGGGAAUCAAAACCAAAAACGAAAACCUGUUCCAUUGUCAGUCUUCUUUCUGAUAAGCUACCGAGCAGUGUUCUACAAGACUUAGGGGUGCGUUCGGUAUGUUAGCUGUUGUUUCCGUUUUGUUGUUUUGGGGUGUGACUUCCUGGGGGAAGCAAAAGAACUUGUAUUUGGUGCGGCUGGAGGCCAGGACGACAAUCCGCUCGCGGGGCGGGCUGCAGAAGGCGCGCCUUGUGCUUCCCCGGGGCUGCACCGGCGCCUGCACCUCGCCUGGGCCGGCCGGCUGCACCAGCUCGCGCAGACUGGCGGGCUCCGCGGCGGCCGCUCCGUGUUUUCCCCCAUCCCGGCUUCACGUUCAAGGUUUAGCUGCGAGGUCACGUCCAUUGACGUCAGCUCCCUGUCUCCCUCUACGUCCGGCUACAUUUACAUACAUCAAGGAAAUUAGGGCAUUAAAAAAAUAUGCAAAUCCUGAGCGGAGAGGAGCGGGAGCAUUCUUGGCGCGAUCGCCUUUUAUUGAAGGUUUUAAUUAAAGAGGCCAGUUGGCGAGCCCCUGAAACAACCGCCAAAACCCCCUAAAAGAGAAAAAUAAACGCUGUAGCCUUCGGGAACAGUUGUUUCUGCUGCUGUUCUGUGGGCGGCUGAGGACCGCCGGCUGCCGGGCUCGGAGAAGAACAGGGAGACCACAAGACGAUCUGGUGAACCACGACUCUGUACACCUGGUUAAAGGAUUAUUAUUGCUGUGCGGUUAUAAGCCUAUCCGGGGGCAUAAAGAAUCCCUGAACAUUACAGUGCUGAACAUUUGGCACGUUUCAGGAUCCACGGACUUGCUAAAUCUUAUUCCAAACUGAGGCUGAGAAAACGGUGCUAGCUUUUGCUCACCAUAGUUUUGAAGGAAAAUGGAACAAGCAAAGUUGUUCUUGGAAAACUAGGUUAAUUGAAGGCAAAUAAAGAUAUUCCCCUUCAGCAGAAGGAGCUGGUUAGGAAGUACAUCAAAUGAGGGCCAUGUUAUACAAAUGCCAGUGGGUUUCUCAAGAGUCUUUGGAAGAGCAAUGAAAGGAGAGGAAGUAGGAAGAAGACCCCAGCCCAGCCUGCACUGUGAAAUGCUCCCGGAAGGCUUGGAUUAGACACCAACUAGCCACAAAUGCCCCAACAAUGAAUAAGCUGCGCCCAGACGUGUGGAGCCGUGUGGAGGGACCGGACCGGACCACAGCCCCCAGCUGUACCUGGUUCGGCGAUGAGGUCUUGCCAGCCCCAUACCAUUAGAUGUGAAAGGUGACUUGAAAACAUGACGUGAUUCUGGGCAAAAUCAUUGUGUCCUGUUGGCAAGAAGAUGUAGUUAUAUUCCCAAGUUCUGCUCAGGAACAGCCGGCCACAUGUCGGGGCUGACCCUUGAGAUGAGACAGGAUCCGUCCAGCACAUGGGAUUCAUGAAGAAACUCAUGUGUUUGGGGAGAG
ensembl:lncRNA